rnacentral:tRNA from 1 species
ACACUCUUAACUUAAUUGGUUAAAGUAAUAAUCUUCGAAAUUAUUAAUAUGGGUUCAAUUCCCAUAGAGUGUU